GGAACUUGUACUCGUUGUGGAGCAACGAUGGUAAAAG
rnacentral:ncRNA from 2 species